rnacentral:lncRNA from 1 species
CCAAAUUCAAUUAUUGAAAUUUAAAUGCAAUAUCUAAUGAAUAAUCCCAAUAAAAUUGAACACAACAUCAACCCCAAAAUAAAAAUAACAGAUUACUCGUCACUAUGAUAGAUUGAUAGUCACUCUGAACGUGCCAAUUGGUUUGACCCACGCUGCCCUACAUUCAAGACGACAGCGCUGCCCUUCUGUGUAUCUUCGAACUUGCGCUUCCCUUCACUCAAAACUGCUGCACUGCCCUUCUAAUCUCACUUUCUUCGUGAGGAUUUUGUCUGCGCUGAAGUUGUGUUUAUUACCCAGAGAA